CCUACGGGCGGCUGCAGUGGGGAAUAUUGCACAAUGGGCGCAAGCCUGAUGCAGCCAUGCCGCGUGUGUGAAGAAGGCCUUCGGGUUGUAAAGCACUUUCAGCGGGGAGGAAGGCGGUGAGGUUAAUAACCUCAUCGAUUGACGUUACCCGCAGAAGAAGCACCGGCUAACUCCGUGCCAGCAGCCGCGGUAAUACGGAGGGUGCAAGCGUUAAUCGGAAUUACUGGGCGUAAAGCGCACGCAGGCGGUCUGUCAAGUCGGAUGUGAAAUCCCCGGGCUCAACCUGGGAACUGCAUUCGAAACUGGCAGGCUAGAGUCUUGCAGAGGGGGGUAGAAUUCCAGGUGUAGCGGUGAAAUGCGUAGAGAUCUGGAGGAAUACCGGUGGCGAAGGCGGCCCCCUGGACAAAGACUGACGCUCAGGUGCGAAAGCGUGGGGAGCAAACAGGAUUAGAUACCCGGGUAGUC
rnacentral:rRNA from 1 species